rnacentral:tRNA from 1 species
ACUGUGAUGGCCGAGAGGUUAAGGAUUUAUGUUGGGAAGCUUUUCAAAACAAAUACAGUAAAAUAAUCCUUCUUGAUCCAAGUGGGCCAACUUGAAACUGCUUGUAUCUCCGCGCAGGUUCGAAUCCUGCUCACAGCG